rnacentral:rRNA from 12 species
CGUGAUGGCUAGACCAGUACCUGAUCCCGUUUGACCUCGGAAGCUAAGCAGGGCUGGGCCUGGUUAGUACUUGGAGGGGAGACUGGCUUAGAAGAACAUGGGCCACUGAGU